AGCAUCUCCAAUUGUGAUGUAAAAUUGGGUGUAAAUUGAUAUCUUUAAAAUCACUUUUGCAUCCUCAUUUACAUUUUGAUGUAUCUAAAUUCAAAUUUUGCUCAAAUUGGAAGAUCUAAAUCCACUUUUUGCCUUUCAUGGAUGAAAAAAGAUAUAAAUUUACAUCUGUUUUUACAUUUUUUGUUGAAAAAUACAAUUUUCAUUUCAAAAGAUAGGGGCGAAAUGGGGGCUAAGAACUCUUGGAAAGUGACACAUGCCUUCUUAUGGGAAUGCAAGAGAGUUUCACAUUGCUAUUGUAGAUCUUGAAAAAUUAACGCUUCGAGCUCUUCUGUCUCCAGUGCAGCACGUUGACUUUCCUUGAUUCUAUUCAGUUGAUUGGUUGAGCCUCUCAGUUGACAUUAUCAUAUGUAGAGUAAGCAAUAAUGAGAUAAGCACUUAUUUAGUUGGAAAGUAUGUCUAUGGAGGAUACCCAAGUCAAACGCUGCUCAACUCUUCUCUUUGGUAAAAGCUAACAUAGCAUAAUAAAAUAGGAUAAUAGACAGCGAAAGCAUAACUAUAUUGACAUUUUGAACAAAAAUUCAUCUUGAUUAAAUCUAGCUAAUCUAUAUAAUCUCAUCAUGACAUUGACAUCAAUCACUUAAUUUUCUAGUUGAUCCAAGAAUUGAAAAACAAAAACCAUAAAAGAUAUUGAAUCCUAAUAUUAACUAAAGUAAGGUGAUCCUAUAUCCCCAUAUCUAUUUAUUAUCAUGGAAGAGGUGUUGACUAGCCUAAUGAGAAAAAAAUUCGUAGAUGGUUGCAUAGGUGCUUAUUCACAUCCCUGAGGUGCACCUUCGGUGUUGCAUUUGCUAUAUGCUAAUGAUAUUGUAAUCUUUGCUAAUGGAAGUAAAAGAUCGAUAAAUUCUUUAAUGGAGACCUUUCAGUUAUGUGAAAAAUGGACAGGUCUGGUUAUCAAUAAAGAGAAGAUAGCUAUUUUCUUUACUAAAAAUUAUGGGGGCAUCUCACAAGAACGAGGUUCUUCGGUUAAGUUCUUUCUGAGAGGGAUUUUUUAACUUAUUUGGGGUGCCAGUGGUGGUAGGAAGAUUGACUACUCGUCAUCUACAGCUUUUAGUGGAGAAAAUUUAGAAAAAAAUUACAGGUUAGAAAAGCCAACUUUUAUCACAAAGAUGUCGUCUUGUGUUAUUGAGACAUGUUUUGUCAUGUAUGGCAACCCAUUUAUUAUCCGUUCUAAGUAUUCCUAAAUCGGUGUUUAGGUCCUUAAAUUCCAUAUUAUCUUCUUUCUUUUGGGGAGAGAUUAAUGGAAGAAAUAGGAAAAAAUGGCGCUCAUGGAAGAAAACUUGUACACCACUGAUGGAGGGAGGCCUUGGGAUUUGUAGGUUUGAAGAAAUUCAAAAGUCUCUCCACAUGAAAUUUGCUUAAAAUGUGCUUACUGUUGAUUCGUUGUGGACCUGAUUUUUCAAAUCAAAAUAUGUACCAAAGGGUUUGGUGGAUGUAGAAAACCUAGGUCAUAUGGGCUCAAGGUUUGGAAAUCUGUGGUAGAUUGUUUCCCUGAUGCGGUUGCUAAUAGACAAUGAAAGAUUAGGGAAGGAAAAUAUCUCUUGGUAUGAUAAAUGUUUAGAAGAGGGCCCACAUUGCCAAAGAGUAGACAGAUUGUUCAACCUAGUUUGAAGGUUUAUGAAAUCUACUUGGAAAUUGCUUGGGAUAUUGAUAGUUUGGGUCAGUUAGUAGGGAUCAACAUGGCAACAAGCAUAAUGAAAAAAGUACAAGGUCAAAAAUCUGGAAAGGAUAUUCUCAUAUGGAGACCAAAUGUACAAGGAAGAUUCUCAACCAAAAAUUCUUGGGAUAUGAUUUAAGUGAGGGCUUCCACAGUGGAGUGUGUGCAAUGGGUGUGGCAUAAUGCCCUUCCUAAAAGGGCUUUAGUUGUGAUAUGGAAAGCCCUGUCGGGAAGGCUUAGUUUUGAUGAUAAGAUUUAUCAGGUUGGAGUGGCUAUGGUGUCUCCUCUAUUCUUGGUGUUAGGUGGUUUGAGAAGCAAGCAUGGUGGGAUAGGAUGCAAAUUUGGUGGGAUAGAGACAAUAGGUCCUCUCAAUUAGGAUGUUUACAAGGGGUAAUACCAUGUUUAGCAACUUGGAGACUUUGGAUUCGAAGAUGUAGAGCAAAGAUGGAGGGCCUUAAUGAAUCAGUUGAAGAUGUUUUGUCCAUUAAAUCUUGGCUGCAACAAUUGGCAAAUAAUGUUACAAAGACAAAACUAUUGACGUGUGAGGAGGAAAAUAUCCUAAAAGUUAUGGGCAUUCCUUGUGUGGUAAGGAAACUAUUACCUGCAUGCUUGGUGACCUGGAAAAAACCAAUGGCUGGGAAAGUAAAGAUCAAUGUAGAUGGGAGUAGUUUGGGAAACAUAGGAUAGGCAGUUAGAGGGGGAGUGAUACACAAUGAUAAAUUAAUGGUGCUAGUGGUGUUUGCAACUAAUUUUGGGAUAGCGUCGAAUAACGAAGCUGAGCUGAGAGCUAUUAUUGAGGGGCCUAAACUUUCCCAACGUAUAGGCAUUUUUUAGGUUGAUAUUGAAUGUGAUUCCAAAAUUGUUGUGGAAUGGAUAUUGAAAUGCAAGUGCACAAUUUGGUAUUUGUGGGAUUUUUGGGAGGAAUAAUGAGUUUAUUUGAGAUACAGGUUUCAUACCAGUUUAGGGAAGCAAAUAAAGUGGUGGAUUCAUUAGCAAAAAUGGGGGCAUAAGGUGUGAUGCAGCAUUUUACAUCUACUAAUGACUUGCCUGUGCAUGCUCGUGGCUUUGUUCGAUUGGACUGUAUAG
rnacentral:lncRNA from 1 species